rnacentral:rRNA from 1 species
UACGAAGGGGGCUAGCGUUGCUCGGAAUCACUGGGCGUAAAGCGCACGUAGGCGGGUCGUUAAGUCAGGGGUGAAAUCCUGGAGCUCAACUCCAGAACUGCCCUUGAUACUGAGGAGCUUGAGUCCGGGAGAGGUGAGUGGAACUGCGAGUGUAGAGGUGAAAUUCGUAGAUAUUCGCAAGAACACCAGUGGCGAAGGCGGCUCACUGGCCCGGUACUGACGCUGAGGUGCGAAAGCGUGGGGAGCAAACAGG